rnacentral:rRNA from 1 species
UACAGAGGUGGCAAGCGUUGUUCGGAAUUACUGGGCGUAAAGCGUGCGCAGGCGGUGAUGUAAGACAGAUGUGAAAUCCCCGGGCUUAACCUGGGAACUGCAUUUGUGACUGCAUCGCUGGAGUGCGGCAGAGGGGGAUGGAAUUCCGCGUGUAGCAGUGAAAUGCGUAGAUAUGCGGAGGAACACCGAUGGCGAAGGCAAUCCCCUGGGCCUGCACUGACGCUCAUGCACGAAAGCGUGGGGAGCAAACAGG